UCGAAACCUGCAAAGCAGACCCGUGAACAUGUGUUUAACCCAAAGGGUGCCGAGCCGCGGGGGAACGAAAGCUCCUCCACGGCGAGUCCCCUUCGUCCGUGCGACGCUUGCGUAGUUCCGGGCUAACGAACCCCGGCGCGGAAUGCGCCAAGGAAAACUAUAAAGAAGCGUCGACCCCUCGCUGCCCCGUUCGCGGGUGCCUGCGGGGGAAACACGGCCUAUCUUGAAUGUCAAAACGACUCUCGGCAACGGAUAUCUCGGCUCUCGCAUCGAUGAAGAACGUAGCGAAAUGCGAUGCUUGGUGUGAAUUGCAGAAUCCCGUGAACCAUCGAGUCUUUGAACGCAAGUUGCGCCCGAAGCCAUUAGGCCGAGGGCACGUCUGCCUGGGCGUCACGCAUCGUGUCGCCCCCUCCCACUCGGGUUGGGGCGGAAAUUGGCCUCCCGUGCGUUGACUCGUGCGGCUGGCCCAAAUCUGAUCCCGCGUCGACGGAUGUCACGACAAGUGGUGGUUGAACUCUCAACUCGCGUGUUGUCGUUACUGUCUCCGUCGCACGAUCGGGCAUCAAAUCGACCCAACGGUGCAUAUUUGCGCUUUCGAG
rnacentral:rRNA from 1 species